AAAAGUCGUAACAAGGUUUCCGUAGGUGAACCUGCGGAAGGAUCAUUACCAAAAAAUUUACAAUUCAACCCAUGUGCACGAUGAUCAAAUGUCUUGGUUUUUGGGGUGUUCUUUAUAAAUGAGGUUCACCCCAACCAUUUUGUUAAACUGCUGUUUAUAUUUUGUCAUGGCAUCGUAACCUGUCUUAAUAAAUAUUAUGACAACUUUUAACGGUGGAUCUCUUGGCUCGUG
rnacentral:misc_RNA from 1 species